CACGUAGGGGGCAAGCGUUGUCCGGAUUCAUUGGGCGUAAAGAGCUCGUAGGCGGUUCGAUAAGUCGGGUGUGAAACCCCCAGGCUCAACCUGGGGACGCCACCCGAUACUGCUGUGGCUAGAGUCCAGUAGGGGAGUGUGGAAUUCCCGGUGUAGCGGUGAAAUGCGCAGAUAUCGGGAGGAACACCGGUGGCGAAGGCGGGUCUCUGGGCCGAUAUUGACGCUGAGGAGCGAAAGCCAGGGGAGCAAACGGG
rnacentral:rRNA from 1 species